rnacentral:rRNA from 1 species
GACGAGUCGAUCGCCGUAAGAUACUUGACGUCUAUCGUAAGUGCAGCAAGACUCGCUCAAUCGAUGACAGAUGGAUAGCUAGUAGCAGUAUGACACUAGCGACGAUCUAGCUGUCGAGAGAUGACAGCACACUGACUGAGACACGUCAGACUCUACUGAGCAGCAGUGGAUAUGCACAUGCGCAGCUGAUGCAGCAUGCGCGUGUAUGAGAGCUCGUGUAGUACUUCAGCGGAGAGCGACGGUAUACGCGUCGAUGACGUAUCGCAGAGAGCACGCUACUCGUGCAGCAGCGCGUAUACGAGGUGCAGCGUAUCGAUACUGGCGUAAAGCGCACGCAGCGUCUGUAAGUCAGAUGUGAAUCCCGGGCUUACCUGGGAGCUGCAUUGAAACUGGCAGGCUUGAGUCUUGUAGAGGGGGGUAGAAUUCCAGGUGUAGCGGUGAAAUGCGUAGAGAUCUGGAGGAAUACCGGUGGCGAAGGCGGCCCCCUGGACAAAGACUGACGCUCAGGUGCGAAAGCGUGGGGAGCAAACAAGAUUAGAUACCCUGGUAGUCCACGCCGUAAACGAUGUCGACUUGGAGGUUGUUCCCUUGAGGAGUGGCUUCCGGAGCUAACGCGUUAAGUCGACCGCCUGGGGAGUACGGCCGCAAGGUUAAAACUCAAAUGAAUUGACGGGGGCCCGCACAAGCGGUGGAGCAUGUGGUUUAAUUCGAUGCAACGCGAAGAACCUUACCUACUCUUGACAUCCACGGAAUUUGGCAGAGAUGCCUUAGUGCCUUCGGGAACCGUGAGACAGGUGCUGCAUGGCCGUCGUCAGCUCGUGUUGUGAAAUGUUGGGUUAAGUCCCGCAACGAGCGCAACCCUUAUCCUUUGUUGCCAGCGAUUCGGUCGGGAACUCAAAGGAGACUGCCGGUGAUAAACCGGAGGAAGGUGGGGAUGACGUCAAGUCAUCAUGGCCCUUACGAGUAGGGCUACACACGUGCUACAAUGGCGCAUACAAAGAGAAGCGACCUCGCGAGAGCAAGCGGACCUCACAAAGUGCGUCGUAGUCCGGAUCGGAGUCUGCAACUCGACUCCGUGAAGUCGGAAUCGCUAGUAAUCGUGGAUCAGAAUGCACGUUCGCAGAGCAGUAAACCGC